UGCCAUAAAACUGUAAAGAAGAAGAUUAUAUUUUGAUGUUUUUAGCAGGACAGCUAAAUAUUUGUUCUAAUUUGCAUCUCAGGUGUCAGGUAUUUAACUUAAGCAAUCUACACAAUAACUGAGGAGGACAUAGUGGAUUAGCAAGGUAGUUAGAUAUAACGCAAUAAUAGCCAACUUACUAAGUUAGUUAGUUACCAGUAUCUGUGAUAAGUUACCCUGUAUUAUACAUUUUAGAACGUUAGCUAGCCUGUAAUUUAGUGUGUUGGCAGACCAAGUUCUGAACAAGCAUGGCAUUAUCCAUCAACUAUUUAAAGGAGUGAAUCAGCAAAACAACUAAUAAAAUAUUAAAUACGGUAUUCAGGAUAACGUUACAAUUUCGGUAGUCUUCUAUCAAACCUUUUCCACUGCGCUCAACACCACGCACACGCAUGGAUAAUAAUUAUGUUGAGUCGGCUGGUCGAGCUGUGCUCGAAAUGAUGCAGCGUGAAUGGGCGCCUCUUUCUCAAGACGAACUGGAGCAACGAUUGGACCGAGCAGGGGAAGAAUUCUGGAAGCUGACCUCCUAGCAAAGGUUCAUGAUCAGUCUGGACCAAUCUACCUACAACUGUCUCAGCUGGUGGAAGAACCUCAACAGCAAAACCAAAUUUGGUCAACAACAGAACUUACACUUUCUCAUGUAGAAGAGGAGUCUGAAUCUCAACAGUUAACUGAUGCUGAGGAAAACGCUGCAGUUCAGUACAUUACAGAUCUCCUCCAGAAUUCAAACUCAAGAUACAAUCAGAGCUGUAUGGCAGGACUUGUCCUCUUAUCCCUGUCCCACACUGUUCUCCUGUCCCUCACUCUCCUCUCCAAGCACCUCAGCUAUCGCUCUGUGUCUACCAGUUUCCGCAUGGAAAAAGGAAACAUUCAUAGGAUCUUCUUUUCCUUUUGUGAGCGUGAACACACUUGAGGACCAACCAAUUAGGUGGCCGACUGGUAUGUAGACUGCUGUUCAAUGUGGAUGUUAUACAAAGUGUUAUACAAACUUUCAGCAGGGACCCCAUUUUAUCCGCCAGUAUUUCUGGGGACCCCAUUUUCCCCCCAAUAAUUUCUUGCCGCCCAAAUCAGAUGACACAACCUUAAAAUCAGUCAAUUUAGAUUUUUACAUCAACAAAUAACCUUCAAUUAAUUGCAUUAAUUUCAAAAUGAAAAGGCAUCAAUACAUUUACUCAAGAAACAUUUUCCAAUUAUCUUUCUCAAAAACGUUUGUAUAUUGUCCCAUACAAUUUUUUGGGGGGGCGACCUCACUCUAGCCCUCCCCCCCUGACUUAGAAUAUCACUGAAUUACGAUAUCCUGACACACUAUUUACUCCAUCACCCGUGUUGGUUUCUGGUCCUUCUCUCCUCCUCCAGGCAUUGAGGCUGUUGAACAGCCUGAAAGCCAGAUUUGAAAGGCUCAGGUAUUUGGACAUGGGGAACUAUGAAAGAGCCAAAGCAGUUGUCCUUACUGCUUGCAUACUCCACAAUGUAUUUCUGGACAUGGGGGAAGUGGUCAACGGACAGGUUGAGAGGGAGGCAGGGACACAGGAGGGAGAGGGGGAGUGUGAUGAGGAGGGUGUGAGGAGAAGGGAAGCCAUCGCAGAUUUGCUGUACAAAGAGUUGGAUUCUGGAAGUACAUAAAGUGAUUUAUAAUUUUGUGUUUGUAUUGAGAUAAACAGCAUUUAUAUUGUAUAUUUUAUUAAAAGGAAGAGUAUCACACAAA